GCCUGUCACCCCUCCACAAAGGGGUGAUAUUAUUUUGCUGACAGCCCUGAAGACCACUCAAUCUCAUGUUGCAAAUCUGGCCACGAUGGGGACCAAGCCCAGUGCAAGGAGAGAACUGCAAACAUUUCAAGGGCGAACAUUUUCUUGGCUUCCAGGCUCAGAAGGAAGGAGGCAAUGUCUUCCGUGGAGAGGGACAGGAGAGCUCAGGAACGCAAAUGCUACAGUAAUAUUUUGCCCACAGAUUCAGAGAGAAAAAUCCAACCCAGGCAAGACGCUCCCUUGUGCAGUGGGCACGGAGACGUGACAUUGCAUCAUUGCACGUUGCACGGUGGCAGUGGCCUUGCUGUUCUCUCCUGGACAGAGGAGCAACCAGAAUGGCAACUGAGAUUAGCAUCGAGUGACCAACAUUGUAUUUGCAUCUGAAAGUGCCCGCCACAAACAGCUGAGGCAGCAUUUGAGCUGGAGGAGAGCUCUGUCCUCCAUGGGGGCGAAAGAGCAGAGACAAAGGAAUGGAGCUCCACUUCCUCCUCAGGGAAAGAGAAAAGCUUGAAAUUGUGAGUUUUCCCAGGCUUCUUCUGGGAUGCCAAGGAAGACUGAAUUGCAUAAUCUCACAAAAAUGUGAGAUGCAACCUACGCCUUCAUAAACUAAUAAUAUAGAGUCGAGGGAUUAGAGACACUGAGAAACAUGUGUGUGAUUUCCUGACCUGAGCACAAUUAAAGACGUUGAUUGUGAAAUCUAAAUGCCUCCAGAACCAAAGAACUACAGACCCAAGAAAUGUAACUCACCAUGGAGGGAUCCUGAUGUCAUGUUGGGUUCUUUCAUAAGAGCUCCCGGGGAGAACCCAGAGACACGUAGGAGUGUCUUUUCCAUUAAACUCAGAAGGUCCAUAUUGGAAACCUUGCCUGUUCUUCCAACAGAGAGAGAUUGCAUCGAAAGGCAAAGCUAGCUUUUAAUAUAUUGCUAUUUUAGAGAUUUCCUUCUUUCUCUGUAUUUGGUUUGUUUUAAACGUGUUGAUUAUUGGCUGUUGAUGAGCAAAGCACUGGGCUCAGAGCAGAGCUGCUGAGCUUGGAACCGUAGCCAAAUGCUCCAAGGGCCUCCUCAGCAGCACCUGCCCGAGCAACAUGAAGGAGUGCAGAUGUGUGGCCUGGCAACUCUGGAAGGAAGGUUACCCAAGGGGCAGUGUUCUAUUAAAUUGAACACUGUUCAUUGGGCACGUCCUUGUGUCACAUCACUGUGUUAGGGCCACACAUUGGGAACGCAAAGGUAAGUGUGACAUAGCUCCUGCCCAUAAGAAUGUCACAAUUUUUUUUUAAAAAGAUGUUAUUUAUUUAUUUGAUCGAGAGAGAGAGAGAGAGAGAGCGCGCACCAGUGGGGGCAGAGGAGUGGCAGAGAGAGAAAAGGGAGCCAAAUGCAGAGCGUCCCGGGAUCAUGACCUGAACCAAAAGCAGAUGCUUGCUUAACUGACUGAGCCACCCAGGCACCCGAAGAAUGUCACAAUUUGAUAGGAAUAUAAUUAAAUUAAAAUUAAAUUUAAAAAAUUCAAUUCAAUUAAAAAAUUGAAUUCAUUCAUGUGCUAAAUUAGCAACAUGAACAUUAUUUUUUUAUGCAGACUCCAGGGAUAAGGGAGGCCUUUAAAAAAAUCCUUCAUCAACAUCAUAAUCCAAGGGAAUUUAUCUAGACUUAUUACAAGGAUUUCUGUCUCUGGACCCCCUAAGUCUGUGGUGCUCAAAGUAGACGUGGGUACCCUAACCGUGCAGAUGCAGAAAUGAAAUAUGAUAACAUAUUCAUGCUUUUAAAUGUAUUCUUUUGAAUUUUAUUUUUUGUGUAUGUUUUAUAACAUGACAUAAUGGUUCAGUAGUAACUUUAUUAUUUACAAAAAUAAUGAACUAUGUUGGGAGGUGCAUGCUCAGGAAAGCUUGACGUGAGAAUGUGAACGGAAGUUUGAAAAAUGAUUAAACUCAGUUGUCCCCCAUCAUCCUCAAGGCCGUGGAUCAUCUUCCCUGAGGCCUCUGGGUAGUUUGGCUGCAUCGUAGCAACUGGAAGCUCACCUGGCCAUCUCUAUCACCUCUGCUAAGUGGAGAAGACCCUCCAAUUAUUGGCAUCCUUCCUCCUUUGCAGGUUCCCUGUCAUUAUAUGACUUUCCCUCUGCCCACCCCCCUUUUUAAAGAUUUUAUCUAUUUAUUUAUUCAUGAAAGACACAGAGAGAGAGAGGCAGAGAUAUAGGCAGAGGGAGAAGCAGGCUCCAUGCAGGGAGCCCAAUGUGGGACUCGAUCCUGGGACUCCAGGAUCACGCCCUGAGCCGAAGGCAGACGCCCAACCACUGCUGAGCCACCCAGGAUCCCUCCCAUCACCCUUUUAUGUCAUAAAUGGUUAAGGAGGCAGACGCCCAGGUAGGUGAGGUAACUCAUCCAACAUUAUAGAACUAGUAUUACUAAGGUGCUUUCUGGCAAAAAUUAAGGAAGAAAACAAAACAAAGCUGAUAUUGGCUGAGAUGAUGGACUAGUUAGAAACUGGCCAACAUUUUAAACAGAAAAGCAAAAAUCACAAAACCUGUUGGUACAAGAGCUAUAAAAGCUGUGAGGUGAAGGAGGCACGGGGUAAAUGAAUCAGCACAACUCAUGGCUACUUGUGGAAUUCGGUGGUCAUACAGGCCCCGUGAAAAUCCCCACUUUGCCGCUCAGUACCUGUGAGAUCUGAGCUAUGACUGGACACUCUCAAGUGUGUCAGUUGCUGCUCUUGGGCUACAAGGAAUAGAAACCAGCUCUGGCUAACGUAAGCACUCCCCAAAAGAAUUUGUUGAGAGGGAAUGGGAUCAUUCCUAGAAUCCAAGGGAAGAGCUGGAGUGCAGGCCCUAGGAAGGAUAACAUCUAGUGCAGUUCCUGGGACCCUGGCAAUGACAUGGAGCCUCUUGCCUCUCGGGACUGGGCUCUGAAAACUCCACCAUAACUGCCCUUGGGUUCUGGAAUGUACAUCCACUCAGAAUCCUAAGUUCUCAGGAUGGAGAUUCCAACUGGCCUGUCUUAGUCCCGUGCCUAUCUGUGUGGUUCUGUGAUUGGACAGGGCUGGGAUUUAAACCCUAGGAGCCUUCAGAGUGGAAGAAAGGCUGGUGCACAAAGGAAGGAGGGCAGAGCCAGACAAAAAAACUGGGCACGUCUACCACACUGAGGUUCAGUUACCUCCUCUGGGAAAUGGAAAUGAAAAUACAGAUCUGAGAGGGGUUGCGUUGCAGAUUAAUCGAACAAGAUAAAGUUUACAAAAUCCUCAGUACAAGGCCUGGAGCUUAGUAAGCAUUCAAUAAAUACAAAUAAAAAUUUUAAAUAAAA